UACAGAGGGUGCAAGCGUUGUUCGGAAUUAUUGGGCGUAAAGCGCGUGUAGGCGGCUUUGCAAGUCGGGUGUGAAAGCCCUCAGCUCAACUGAGGAAGUGCGCCCGAAACUGCAGAGCUUGAGUGCCGGAGAGGGUGGCGGAAUUCCCCAAGUAGAGGUGAAAUUCGUAGAUAUGGGGAGGAACACCUGUGGCGAAGGCGGCCGACUGGACGAUCACUGACACUGAGACGCGAAAGCGUGGGUAGCAAACAGG
rnacentral:rRNA from 1 species